rnacentral:rRNA from 1 species
UACGUAGGGUCCGAGCGUUGUCCGGAAUUAUUGGGCGUAAAGGGCUCGUAGGCGGUUUGUUGCGUCGGGAGUGAAAACUUACAGCUUAACUGUGAGCGUGCUUCCGAUACGGGCAGACUUGAGGUAUUCAGGGGAGAACGGAAUUCCUGGUGUAGCGGUGAAAUGCGCAGAUAUCAGGAGGAACACCGGUGGCGAAGGCGGGUCUCUGGGCCGAUACUGACGCUGAGGAGCGAAAGCGUGGGGAGCGAACAGG